UACGUAGGGGCCUAGCGUUGUCCGGAUUUAUUGGGCGUAAAGAGCUCGUAGGCGGUUCGAUAAGUCGGACGUGAAAUCUCCACGCUCAACGUGGAGGGGCCGUUCGAUACUGUCGUGACUCGAGUCCGGUAGGGGAGUGUGGAAUUCCCGGUGUAGCGGUGAAAUGCGCAGAGAUCGGGAGGAACACCCGUAGCGAAGGCGGCACUCUGGGCCGGUACUGACGCUGAGGAGCGAAAGCGUGGGGAGCAAACAGG
rnacentral:rRNA from 1 species